rnacentral:lncRNA from 1 species
UCCUGAUCUUAGCGGUCUUUUCCAACCUUAACGAUUCCAUGAUUCUAUAACACAAUGCUGCUUUCCAGUAGCUGCAAAUACUGUGGUGCCUGUAUGGGGGAACCACGAAAGGACACUGGUUUUCCAUUGCCAUCAUCCCAUACGAUGAGCAGAGCCCAGACUCCCAAAAAUCAUGGAUCUCGUUUUAGUGUCUGGGCUGAUCUCCUUUGGCUCUUCUGGGUCUGCAGUUCUCUCUGAUAUCCCCCGCUCAGUCGGUAGACGUGUCUCUGAAUGCACAAGAAGGUGCCAUUCUACAUAGUUGGUUUUCUGAUCAUGACCAGACUCUAAGCUCUUAAGGUAGAGACUUCAGUUUUUUAAUAACUCACGGGAGAACCCAGGGAAAAUGUAAGUUUUAUGGAGUCUAGAGAAUAUUUUUAAAGGAUUUAGAUGUCUGGAAAAAGUGUCUUAGGAGGUUUAACUGCUUUUCAGUGGAAAAAAAGUACAUUAACAAAUAUUCUUGUUUCUUUGUUAGUCCCUUCCGGAGCAGAGCAGCAGCCACGUGCUCUGAGAUCUGGGAUCAGGAGGCCGUGGGCCAUCUCCAAACUGGUGCCAGGCAGCGCAGCAUCGCAUGCCUUGCAGGGAAAUGCCGAAGGCAGCUGA